rnacentral:lncRNA from 1 species
AUUCACCAAUUCUCCUUUUCUUUGUUUAUUUCUCACCAUCAGUCAGUGUUGCGUAUCCAUUGAUAUUUGAAACUAGUUUCCUUUGUUUUGUAGGAAUGCUUCAUGUUUGAAUCGACCAAUCAGAACUAGAAAUAAAUCCAUUCUCCUUUUGCAUAAGGAACUUAAUAUGAAAGCAGAAACACAUUCAGAAACAGAAAGUGAUUUUGAAUACCUGGCAAAGAAGAGGAAGUAAGGAACAAAUCAAGAGCUGAGAGAAAAAUAAUUGCCAAUUAGGGACAACUAGAAAAAGGGAAAAGGGAAAGUAAAAGUAGGUGAUCAAGGAUAGAAUGCAUUAUGUGUGAACAAGUAGCUGGACAAUUUGACUGCCAGGAAGACUGUGAAAAUGUAUGACUUGGAAGAAGAAUGAAAGGUACUGGAAGAUGGUUGAUGGCUAUCAUUCUAAAAGAAAAUUUGAAGGCUUUCAACUGAAAGAGCAUAGCCAUCAGGGAUCAUGAGACCUGGGUUGAGACAUCUGUCAGAGAUUAUAUAUCCAGUGAAUUAUGCCCAGAAAAAGGCCAUACAAUAAGCUAAGACCAAUAUGAAGAAGACAGAGGGAGAAUAGUUCCAUAAAAUCAAUGAAAUAAUUUGGUAGAUUUGCUGUGCUGGAAAAAUUUUCUAUGUGUUUACCCUGGCUAUAAAUUUUCUUUCUAUCUGAACCCCCUCAACAUUUGUUCCAAUUUCCAU